rnacentral:rRNA from 3 species
ACGGAAGGCAGCAGUGGGGAAUAUUGGUCAAUGGGGGCAACCCUGAACCAGCGACGCCGCGUGAGUGAAGAAGUAUUUCGGUAUGUAAAGCUCUAUCAGCAGGGACGAUAAUGACGGUACCUGACUAAGAAGCCCCGGCUAACUACGUGCCAGCAGCCGCGGUAAUACGUAGGGGGCAAGCGUUAUCCGGAUUUACUGGGUGUAAAGGGAGCGUAGGUGGUCAGGUAAGUCAGAUGUGAAAGCACGGGGCUCAACCCCGUGACUGCAUUUGAAACUGCUUGACUAGAGUGCAGGAGGGGUAAGUGGAAUUCCUAGUGUAGCGGUGAAAUGCGUAGAUAUUAGGAGGAACACCAGUGGCGAAGGCGGCUUACUGGACUGUAACUGACACUGAGGCUCGAAAGCGUGGGUAGCAAACAGGAUUAGAUACCCUGGUA